AGUGGCACACGCAGUCCCAGGCAAAGAAGUAAAACAAAUAUAGGUGUGUUGUAGAGUCAGGCAGAACCCAGAACGUCUGGAGAUGAAUGUAGGGAAGAAGGAAGGACCAGCAAGUUCUUCCAGGCUGGAGUACGAUGGCGCAAUCUCCGCUCACUGCAAUCUCCACUGACUACAACCUCCGCCUCCCGGGUUCAAGUGAUUAUCCUGCCUCAGCCUCCUGAGUAGCUGGGAUUACAGAUACUUAACUAUCAGGAAACAUUUACAGAUGAAGAAAGAAGAACAUCUGAACACAGACUGAGCUUACUGGAUAUUGAUGCCAGUGGCAAUAUUGGCAAACAAAUCUUGAAGAUAGAUGGCCAGAGAAAUGAUGGAAACUGUGUCUGAGUCACUGCUUGGAAGAGAGCCACCAAACCAGGAGCACUUACAUCCGACUGGAAUGGCAUCCAGAGGGCAGGACUUCAGCUGGCUGCCUUGAUUCAUCCCAUCCUACAGAUUGCUGUCAACACAAGAGAUGAUCAGGAUAAUGUAACGAUUGCACUUUGCUGAUCCCAAAGUUGUCAGAUGGAGAGUAAAUACAAGGAGAUACUCUUGCUAACAGGCCUGGAUAACAUCACUGAUGAGGAACUGGAUAGGUUUAAGUUCUUUCUUUCAGACGAGUUUAAUAUUGCCACAGGCAAACUACAUACUGCAAACAGAAUACAAGUAGCUACCUUGAUGAUUCAAAAUGCUGGGGCGGUGUCUGCAGUGAUGAAGACCAUUCGUAUUUUUCAGAAGUUGAAUUAUAUGCUUUUGGCAAAACGUCUUCAGGAGGAGAAGGAGAAAGUUGAUAAGCAAUACAAAUCGGUAACAAAACCAAAGCCACUAAGUCAAGCUGAAAUGAGUCCUGCUGCAUCUGCAGCCAUCAGAAAUGAUGUCGCAAAGCAACGUGCUGCACCAAAAGUCUCUCCUCAUGUUAAGCCUGAACAGAAACAGAUGGUGGCCCAGCAGGAAUCUAUCAGAGAAGGGUUUCAGAAGCGCUGUUUGCCAGUUAUGGUACUGAAAGCAAAGAAGCCCUUCACGUUUGAGACCCAAGAAGGCAAGCAGGAGAUGUUUCAUGCUACAGUGGCUACAGAAAAGGAAUUCUUCUUUGUAAAAGUUUUUAAUACACUGCUGAAAGAUAAAUUCAUUCCAAAGAGAAUAAUUAUAAUAGCAAGAUAUUAUCGGCACAGUGGUUUCUUAGAGGUAAAUAGCGCCUCACGUGUGUUAGAUGCUGAAUCUGACCAAAAGGUUAAUGUCCCGCUGAACAUUAUCAGAAAAGCUGGUGAAACCCCGAAGAUCAACACGCUUCAAACUCAGCCCCUUGGAACAAUUGUGAAUGGUUUGUUUGUAGUCCAGAAGGUAACAGAAAAGAAGAAAAACAUAUUAUUUGACCUAAGUGACAACACUGGGAAAAUGGAAGUACUGGGGGUUAGAAACGAGGACACAAUGAAAUGUAAGGAAGGAGAUAAGGUUCGACUUACAUUCUUCACACUGUCAAAAAAUGGAGAAAAACUACAGCUGACAUCUGGAGUUCAUAGCACCAUAAAGGUUAUUAAGGCCAAAAAAAAAACAUAGAGAAGUAAAAAGGACCAAUUCAAGCCAACUGGUCUAAGCAGCAUUUAAUUGAAGAAUAUGUGAUACAGCCUCUUCAAUCAGAUUAUCUAGGGGAAGCUCCAGCUUCUCAUCUGCUUGAUUUGAGUCCCAUGGAGAAGCUCUGAUAUGUGGUAAGGUGGAAAAAUAUGACACGGUGCGAUCAAGGCAUUAGAGGAUGAAGCUAUUGAAGUGAAAACAAAAUUGAAGAGGCAAAUUCUUUUGAGCAGAGGGUAAUUUUUUUCUUAUUUCAUUUAAAGAUAGAUUGUCCUUAGGAAGUACAGUUCAAAGGGGAAUCAGCAUGAUGUUAAGGAAAGCAAGCAAAGGUGGGGAUGUAGCAGCCCACCUAAAUGACACUAACUCCAAAUCACCAUCAUCCAGGGUACUCAAGAAUAGGCAAUUACAGAAAGCUUACCUCAAGUGAUAUGAAAUAUUAGACUAGCUGAGAAUACAAACAUCAUCUGUGUAUAAAACAGUCCUUUUUCUUAGAGUUCAUUAAGUCAAAUUUGAAUUUAGAGGCAGUUUUAGCAGUCUAUGACAUCUUAGUAUGGCAUCUGUUCCUAACUAGCUGAGUGAUACUGUGAUUUUGACCACUUCACUCAAUCUCUCUGAACUUCAGUAUUCUCAAAGAUGAGAAAACUGGCUUCUGUAGCAUCUGAAGUUUCUUCAGAAUCUGGUUUCCCAAAAUGAGCAAAAUAAUCUUAAACACAUAUACACACACAUAUACAUACACAGAUAUAUAUAUGUGUGUGUGUGUGUUUGGUGUGUGUGUGUGUGUAUAAGAAUAGCAUUGGGCAAAAAAAUAUAAAAAUGUCUAAUUGGCAUCUAAGCCUACUAUAAUGAAAGACACAUAAGCAGAAAGGUAGUGUAAAACAGUACGUUUUUAUUAUUUCACUCUUUGACGGCAGACCACAAUGGUAAACUUUAACGUCUCUUUUCCUUAUUGGGCAUAGAUAGCUUUGGACCUUCGCAGUAGUGAGACAGCCAGAUGGGAAGGGGUCCCCAGAGAAACUCCAGCCCGCACACUGGGCAGAGUGUGCACUGGGGUGGAGCCACAGAAGUUUGCGCCAUUUGCAGUGGACAGGAGCCUGGCCCCUCCUCUUCCUGGAUGGAACCUGGAAUUCAAACUGUGAGGCGGGAAGUGCACUAGCAAGGACUCUGGCUUUGUGGACCAUCCCUCUUUCCCUCUUUUCCUUUUCACCCAAAAAACCCUGCCCUCCUCAUGCUUCAUGUUGUCUGUGACCCUAAUUUUUCAUGGCCAUGUGAUAAGGACCCCUGUCUUUAGCUGAAAUAAGGAAAAGUCCCACAACAUUUUUGGUGCCCAAAAUGGGGCUCGAGAAUCGGUGGGUGAGUUGCAAACCAAGGAAUCUUUUUCCCUCUCCUUUCUGAGCCUUUCAUCCUCAGACUUCUGAGGGUAGGGGAAAUCAUGCCCCCACCCCCGUUGUCGCUUCCAGGGGUUGGGAUGGUCGACCUGUCUCCAUGGCCUUUUACUUCCUUUUUCCAGAUGAACCGGUGAGCAGUGGCUCCUCAUCACCCUCCCCUCCCUGCUGGGGCUGGGAUACACAUCCCAAGGUGCCCCAGGUACAUGGCUGUGUUUACUGCCAUGGGCCCAUGAAGUCUCUCCCUCCCCAGGUCAAGGAGGCCAGCUUCAUCCCCCACUCCUUUUUUUUUUUUUUUUUUGAGACAGAAUCUUGCUCUGUCACCUAGGCUGGAGUGCAGUGGCAUGAUCUUAGCUCACUGCAACCUCCGCCUCCCGGGUUCAAGCAAUUGUCCUGCCUUAGCCUCCCAAGUAGCUGGGACUACAGGCAUGCACCACCACGCCUGGCUAAUGUUUGUAUGUAGAGAUGGAGUUUCACCAUGUUGGCCAGGCUGGUCUCGAACUCCUGACCUCAAGUGAUCUGCUGGCCUUGGCCUCCCAAAAUGCUGGGUCUAGAGGCAUGAGCCACCGUGCCCAGCCUAAGAAUGUCACUUUCUAACAGGUCCAAGAACUCCAAGUUUAUCUUGGGACCUUAAGAGAAGAGAAUCACUCAACUCACAGGCAUUUGAGGAUACAAACCCAUGACUGGGCUUGGCUUUAAAAGGUCUUAUCUGAGACUCCUUGUGAAACAGUUCCAUCAAAGCCAAUCCAAAAGGCCUAUGUAGAAAUAAUUAUUCCUCUUGCACUUUAUGCAAAUAAUCAGACCAAGUGUAAGACUACAAUCUAUUUUGCAAACAACUCAGUCCUAUCAUGAUUUAUGUUUUUUUGUUUGUUUUUUCCAAAAAUGAGGACUAGAGAGAAAGAAAUUGUGUUUCAAAACUUAUCAUACAUUUGCCAUUAAAUUCUAAACUCACUAGUUGUUUUUAAGUUUUUGCCUACAGUUUAGAUGAACCUUGCUUGUUCCUGUGAACCAACAAGCAAGCUCCAGCUACAGCUCAGAAAGAACAAAAGGCCAUCAAACUCCAGUCAUGCAACUGGAGAGGCGGACAAUGGCCCAUUCUGCUGGGAACCCUUAAAUAGGCCUCUGAGGGACUUUGACUGCUGUUUUGCCGAAACAGCACCCCCUGUCAGCAGGAAGCAGUUAAGAUCGGUCUUUGUCCUUAUCCUUAUCCUUAUUCUAAUGGCAGUUAGAUGCAUUUCUUUAGAGGGGGCAAUGAGACAGCCAGGUGGGAAGGGGUCCCCAGAGAAACUCCAGCCUGCACACUGGGAGGAGUGUGCACUGGGGUGAAGCCACAGAAGUUUGCGCCAUUUCCAGUGGGGAAGAGCCCAGCCCCUCCUCUUCCUGGGUGGAACCUGAAAUUCAAACUGCCAGGUGGGAAGCCCACAAGCAGGGAGUCUGGCUUUGCAGAAGGACCGUUUCCCUCUUUUCCUUUUCACCCAAUAAACGCUGCCCUCCUCACACUUCAAAUUGUCUGCGAGCCUAACUUUUCAUGGCCCCAUGAUAAGGAUUCCCAUGUUUAGCUGAACAAAGGAAAAUUCCUGCAACAGUAGUAGACUUCCCCAUUCCAUUCCUCACAGCUUCCACCACAUCCCCACAACCCUCUCCUAACGUACACACCCCAAACGAGAAGAGCAGCCUGGGUUCUAAAUCAAGCUCUCUAAUUUACCAUCUAAGGGUCAUUAAGAAAGUGACUUUGCCUUUCUAUUCCGUGUUUGUCACAUAUUAUAGGGUGAGUAAAGAGGAGAAAACAAUCAACCUUCUAGAACUAAUAUGAAGAUUAAGUGUCACAAAAUAAUUGCCAAGUACCAGGUACCAAAUAUAUAAUCAAUAAAUUUAGCUAAAUUUUAGUUUUAGAUACUUACUUUCUGCUAUUCUAUUCUGAAUAAAAUUAAUUAUCUUCAGUGUUUGCCUAAUGCAGCUCUUCCUAGGGCAGCUUUCUAAUGUAUCAGAUCACUAUAGUGGAUUGCGAGAACAGGGAAUAUGGUUUGAAAGUGCGUGAAGAGCAGUCGGUGUUUUGAGGAAAUGCAUAAAACCAGAUAUUUCACAUCAGGCAGGCCCAGAUAUUCCUCUAACACAGACAAGUGCCUUCAUGCACAUCACCAGAAGGUGCCUCAUUUGGCAGAAAAAUUACCCAAUUAUGCCCCCUCCAGGAGACCAAUUCUGAAAAGAUAUCUACUGCUCUGGGCUAAAACAGUAACACAGCACUUGGCAACUGAACCACAAACUGGAUUUCACGCUUACUUAUCCCUUUAGCCUGGUUUCUUUCAGCAGAACACAGCCUGUUCAUUCUUGAUCAGGGCUUUACCCGGUAAAGAUCACACCCAAAGUAUAAAUCCAAAUAUUGCUUGAGGCCUGUGUGCCCCACCCUGAUUUGCAGACCACAGACUAUUUGCUUUUAAGCAACUCAUGGAUGGAUUAAAGAGACUGCUGGGGAAGCAUUCCUUUCACAAAAAAGAUAAUGUUUAUUUAUUUUUUCAAAUUAUAGAAGUUGUAGAUGCAAAAUAUGCCAUUUUAUUAAAAAAAAACUAUGAAAAAUUAAAAAA